GAGCAAAGACAACACUGAGUGCUGAACUCCGCGAGCUCUGAAACAAAAACAAUACGUACUGUUGCAGUCUCGCGCUGCGUGAAGAGCCUUUUCAAGAGGAAAAACAGGGGAAAUUCAGCUCGACAUACUCGCGACGAUAAUCUCUCUGACUGAACAAAUGCUGAGUAAUGUAACUCUAUCCAGGAAAGCUGUUUCACAAUUCUCCCUCCCCCUCCCUCUCGUCUUCCUCUCCUCCUCAACAGCGCUUCCAAUGUUCCUGGAAGAAGUAAACAACAGACCACGUGCACCAGCUGCAGCAUCAUAUUUCGUCCAGAGAGACGUGACGUCACGAAACGUACUUCAGUCUGUCCUGUAGUGUUUACAUGAUGAACUUAGAAAGCUAUUUCUACUAUUUUCAUGUGAUGUCCACAUGAUGCUUUGGACGGACAACCUGUUCAGGGGCCCAGAUGGGAAUCCAGGAGACAAAACGAGGCUGCUUCACCUUCACACAGCUACUAUUAAAGAUUCUCAUUAGAGCUCUAAUUGAACCAUA